rnacentral:rRNA from 1 species
CGGACCUUUCGGGGUCAGCGGCGGACGGGUGAGUAACGCGUGGGAACGUGCCUUCUGGUUCGGAAUAACCCUGGGAAACUAGGGCUAAUACCGGAUACGCCCUUAUGGGGAAAGGUUUACUGCCGGAAGAUCGGCCCGCGUCUGAUUAGCUAGUUGGUGGGGUAACGGCCUACCAAGGCGACGAUCAGUAGCUGGUCUGAGAGGAUGAUCAGCCACACUGGGACUGAGACACGGCCCAGACUCCUACGGGAGGCAGCAGUGGGGAAUAUUGGACAAUGGGCGCAAGCCUGAUCCAGCCAUGCCGCGUGAGUGAUGAAGGCCUUAGGGUUGUAAAGCUCUUUUAUCCGGGACGAUAAUGACGGUACCGGAGGAAUAAGCCCCGGCUAACUUCGUGCCAGCAGCCGC